UUAAACGCACUACUACUUCUUGAGCCUUUUCCACUCCACUCCACAAAAUGGCUCCAAGAACCUCCCUUGCUCUUUUCCUUUCUCUCAACCUCCUCUUCUUCACUUACACCUCUGCGACAUGUUACAAGUGCCUCCCCACCCCAACUACCCCGACCAUCCCGACCAUCCCGACAACCCCGACCACCCCGACUACCCCGACCACCCCAAGCACAGGUACUUGUCCUAGAGAUGCCCUACAGCUCGGUGUUUGCGCUAAUGUGCUCAAGCUAGUGGACCUAAAAUUGGGAAACCCACCCGUUAAGCCAUGCUGCUCUCUUAUCCAAGGCUUGGCUGACCUUGAGGCUGCGGUCUGCCUUUGCACUGCUCUCAAGGUUAACAUUCUUGGAAUCAACCUUAACCUUCCCAUCGAUCUCAGCGUUCUCCUCAAUGUUUGCAGUAGAAAAGCUCCAAAGAACUUCCAGUGCGCUUAAGUUUAAAACAUAGCUACUAAAUAAAUGAUUCAUACAGUUUAUGAAUUUUUGAACCUAUUUUCUUAUCAAGCUAUAUUUUUCUUGUUGUAAUUUCCCCGUAUUGUUUAUGAUGAACGUACUCUCCCAUGCAAUAAUGGGUAAUGCAUGGGUUUGUGUGUGCAUGUACUUCUUUGCUUUGUUGUUCCUCCAUCUCUUCUUUAAUUUGUAAGUGUAUUUUUUGAAUUUGAUUAAUAAAAGUAUUAAUCGAUGUCGUUGUCUAUAUUGCAAUCUUCGGUGUCAGCAUUAAGACAUGCAUGUACUGAAGUACAUCCGACCAUUUUGACAAAAGGCAACAUACAGUAUUUUGGCAAGAAUUGUGUGGAAGUUCCUGAGAAUUAGAUUUUUGGUCAUGCACACGUGUAUUUAGGAGUAUUCAUAUUAAGAAGAAUAUACAAACAGUAUUCAGCGAUUAAUUAAUUCUUCAUCAAAAAGCCAUGCAUGGUCUACAGCGUCAAUAGCAACAUUAUUGAUAUGGUCUAUAAGAAGGUAACUUGAUAUUGGUGAUACCAUAAAAAGUUAUAAUUAAACUUUGUUAACAGGCCGGUCCAAUGUUUCCUUUUCUUGGAUGCCUUACACACAACUAAGAAACUAAGCGGGUUAAGUCAGCUCUCACAGUAAGAUCGAAUAGUACCAUUAUUGAUGGUCUUUUACACAAUUCUUAGCAUAAAAUUUUCUUAAAAAAUCACGAAGAAAAAUGGCCUAACUAAAUCCAAAAGCUGGUUAAACUUCAAAUAAAUAAGAGUAAAUAAAUUUUAGAAUACACAGAUUUUAUAUGAACGAUAUAUAGCUGUAGAGAGUUUGAAUUAUGAUCUUUCAUAUAUUUAUACAUGAUAUAUAUAUAUAUAUAUGUAUAGAUGUUAUAAUUUUUAUAAUCAAAAUUAAUCAUUGUUAUUUAAAGAAUGAGACAUUUAUUUUUCAAUGAGGGAUUUUUGACAUAAAUAAUGACUUCCUAACUAUAUAUCUUCACAAAAUUUCAUUAUAACUUUUUUUUAGCUCAAUGCAAUAAGAUCGGUUUCAUGUAGUUUUCAUUUUUAAAACUAAAAAAUCAUUUUCUUUCAUUUUUAACUUCUGCCCUGAUGAGAAUUCAAAAGACAUACCAAUACUCUAGAUAGUUUGUAUAUGUCAAUUAAACUUUUGGCCAGUUUGAAUUUUUAUGUGUUAACAAAUAUUAUGAAGUGUGAACUAUGUUUUUUCUGUAGCAAAAAAUAAUUAUGAAAACCUAAGCAUCAGAAUUUACGUGGUAUUAUCUUUGGACAUCCAUAUAUGUCGGGUCAACUUUCAAAAACAAAAAGAUACAGCAAAAGUUCAACUUUGAUCAUUGAUUUUAUGCCAUUACUAUAAGUCUAUAUGUCUGUAUGUAGUCUUUACAAUUAUAUUUUGUUUUAUUCCUUUCGUAAGAUCAUUUCCAAUAUCAUCUUAUUAUAUAUAAUUUUUUUAAUUCAAAAUAGAACAUAGAGUUAAUCUUUAAUGCACGACUCUAUAUAUUUACUCUAUAAUAGUGUAGCCGAAAGAUUUAAGAUGAAACAUGCAUAUAUUAAUCUUCUGUAAAUCAUAUGGUGACAUAUAAAUAAUUAUGUUCAUUAAGAGUUAACGUCGUGCCUAAGUGCUUUAAUUUUAAAAUAUUGUAUUCGUACAAACUUUAUUUAGAAAUACUAUUGCAUUGUCGCUAAUUAAAGAGAAAUAGUGAAAUACCUUAUAUUAAAAAAGUAUAAUAAGAAAUAAAGAAUAAAAUUGACCAAUCAAUUCUAUAGUAAAGAACGAUUUGGCAUGAUGAUUAUCAUAUUAUUACAAGCCUGUCGAAGGAAUAACUAAAUUCUCGAUCUCCCGUAUAGCUAUUACCCCUGAACCAUACAUUAGCAUGUUCGACCUUAUUUAUAUAUAAUCCGAGUAUAACAGAUGAUACCACUAAUACAGGAAACUAUAUGUUAUUUAUUCAGCAAAAUGAUUAAAAUAAUAUGAUCUCGCACAUAUAUAUCAGUCAAUAUGAAUCAUAGAAACUAAUAUACUGUCCGACAAAGAAAUAACGACGAUGAUCUUGUCGUUAUAACACCUUAAUCUAUCUAUAUAUAUAAAGUUAAUUUUUUCUCUCUUCUCCUUAAGCCACAUCAUCAUCCACCUCAUUUUAUUAUUUAAUUUUAAAAAUUAAUUAUACCAUUUUAUCAUUUAAUUUUAAUAUUUAAACCUAUGUAAAUAAGUUUUUCCAAAAUGAAUAUGAAAGGUCUUUUUAUAUAUUAUAUAUUAUAAAACUAAAAAAGAUAAUUGAUUAAGAGUUAAAAAAACUUACUAAUUAUCGAUUAUACUAACAAAUAUAAUGUAUAAUAUAAAUCCCACAUCAUCAUUCAUCUUAAUUUUUUAUAUUGAUUUAGAAUUACAACACUUUAGUUUUUAAUUUCUUUUCUACCUCAUAACUUAGCUUUUAUUUUAUUUUAUAUUCAAUAGUGGUUUUAAGAAAAUAAAUAAUAUAGUAAAAACAUUUAUGUCCAAAAUAAAUAAAACAAGUAUCUAUUUAUAAAGUAAUGAUCAAUUUUUUGAUUAAUGGGGCUAAAUAUAAAAACAAAAUACAAAGCAAGGAUAUUUAUACUAUACAGAUAGAUAUACCACUAAAUUGAUGUCAUCCGAAGCCACCUCAAACGAAAACACAACCGAUUUUAGGCAUAAGAAGUAGAAAAAAACUAAAAAGUAAAAUGAAAACACUUGGAUAAAUAAAUAAGUGGAUUCACCAGAAUAAUUUGGCCUACAAGAAUUGAAUGCUUUUGAAAUGUAAGGUUCUAACAGCUACUAUUUGACCUAAAUCAAAGUUAAACAAAUAAAAAUAAACAUUUCAUAUACUAAAUUAAUACCAAAACAACAGUAAAAACAAAAAAAAUAAACAAAAAACAAAGAAAAAUCAAACUAUAAAUUUUAAAAUAUAAAAUUUAAAAUAUAAAAAACAAUUAUAAAACUCCCGCGCGCAGCGCGGGUCAACAACUAGUAUACAUAUAAAGUUAGCUUUUUCUCUCUUCUCAUUCUCAUGAUGCCACCUAAGCAUCUACCUAAGCCACAUUUUGUUUUACAUUAAAAUAUAUUUUAAACAUUCAUUUAGUGCAUAUUUAUGCUACUUAUUUAAUUAAUAGAAAAUUAUAUAAAUAAAAAUAAAUUAUGUAAAUAAAUGAAAUGUUAAAUAAGAAAUACUUCCAUUUUUAUUAGUUAGUGGUAAUAAUAUAAUUCAACUUUCAUUUUAAAUUGAUCAUAGUUUAAAAUUUUAAAUGUGUUACUGAGUUUAAGAAUGUAAGUAAAUUUUAAAUUUAUGGUAGAAUAAAAACAACAUUUAUGUAAUUGUAUAUAUAAAAUUUUAAAGGGAAAAAGUAAAAUUGAAAGUGAAAUAUUAGUUUAUAACCUGAUCAAUAAGAAAAUGCUAUUAAUCCAAAUUUAAAUAUUAAAAGAUAAUAAUUCAAGAGAAAAUAACUAUAAUAUGUUUUGAAAAUCAAUAAAAAAUUAAAUAUCACAAUAUGAAUAAAAAAUUAACAAAAAAAUUAUAAACCUCCCGCGCGUAACGCGGGUCAACUGCUAGUAUAUGAUAUAAUUCUCUAACAAUUAUAUUACAUAAUUUAUUUGGAAAUUGCUAUCUUUCCAAAAAAUUUCUUUUUUUAAAUAAUCAAAGAGGUUUUGGGCCGAAACUCAUACAUCUUCUCAGGUCCAAAACCAAAGCAUAUUAUAUGGUUUCGUCCCAAGCGCUAAUCGAACCAGCGAUCUUCUAAGCGUUUGACAGAAAUCUUUACUAAUUGAUCUAUUACCAUUUGGUUAUCUUUUCAAAUUUGAAAAGUUGCAAUUUGUAAGUACUCGGAUAUUUUUAAGUUCGAUAAAUUCAGAUUAUAUAUAUCUUUUUAAGUUAGACAAGAACUUUUUUUUUGUUUUUUUCACACUAUGAAGCUGACCUUUUGAUGCCAAAUUUUUGCUAAACCCAUCUAAACAAUACUAACAGUGAAAUAUUUUUAACCAAAAGAAAAAUCGAAACUUGUCUAUCUGUCCAUCUUGUAACCUCUGUUAUACGGAAUGAUUUGAUAAGUCCAACAAUUUGAGAUUCUUAAAAAUAUGAUCUACUAAAAAUGAAGUCAGAAACUUUGUCUUUGUGUGAUAUUAGUCUGCCUCGUGACAAAGGAUAAGAUAUUUUCAAAUGGACAAGCGUACGUGAAGGAAUAAGGAAAGUCAUUUCAAAUUUUAGUCUUCAGUAACAAAUGUUUAUUAAUAUAAUUACGAGAAAACAGAAUCCUAGAAGUCUAGAACAUAUAUUCAUGCUAAUGUAGGUAAUAUAUUUGAUUAUAACUUGGUGCUAUACUACUAACUAUGGAAUAAUUGUUCUUUACUAACGCAAAAAUAAUAGUGUGUAAUCCAAAAAGUUACAAAAUCGAAUGACAACUGAUCAUACAUAUAAAAAUUCACACAAAAAUAAAAACAUGUUGGGUUCAAUUCUUUAACCCAAACCAACUUUUCCAUUAGUAUGAUAUUGUCUGCUUUAAGCCUAUAACUCAAGGCCGCACGGAUUUGUUAGACUCCUUCCCAAAAAGUCUCAUACUAAUUGGAGUUGGAGUCGACUUAUAUAUUAGAAACUUCUCUUUCUAAUCUUCCGAUAUGGGAUAUUGGUUUGUAUUCCAAUAAAGCAUACAUAAAAAAAAUUAGUCUACUACAUCUAAGUUAUUAAAUAAUAUUGGAACCAUGUACUCUUCGAGAUUACCAGCUAAUUUGAUCAAUGACAGUUAAAUUUUUAAAAAUUAAAUCGUAUAUAUAAGAAAAUUAGUCUAUUAAUUAAUCCACUAUCAAAGACAAAUUAUCAAUUAAACCUUCACAAUUCUCUCCUAAAGAUAGACACUAAAAACUUAAUAUUUCUCUCCACCCAUCUCAAACAAACUUAAACGCAAUACUACUUCGUGAGCCUUUUCAACUGCAAAAACAAAUGGCUCCCUCUCCCUUGUACUCUUCUUUUCUCUCAAAUUAUAAAUGCCAUUAAGAAAAAACUUUGCUUUUUGAAUAUGAUCUUUUAAGAAUUAGCAUUGCAUGCCUCUAUCAUUACCACCACAUUAUAUAUAUAUAUAUAUAUAUAUAUAUAUAUAUAUAUAUUACCUGGUUUCUACUAUUUAAACCAUAUCAAUUUCUUUCAUUUUUCAUGUUUUUUAUAGAUAUAUUAUGAAAAUAAUGAAAGAAAAAGUCAUUAUGAUGGCAUGAUGGUUAUCACUAGUACACGAAACUAUAUAUAUGUUAUUUAUUUAGCAAAGGGAUAAAAGUAGUAUGAUCUCGCACAAUAUAAAUUAAUCAUAUACACGUAUUAUCCAAAAGUGAAAUAACAAUUAUUUUAUUCAUAUUGGACAUUACUAAAUUUCCUCUAAAAUUUGCAAAGUUAAUGGAGUAGUAAUUAGAAUAGUUAUAUGAAGUAUUAUUUAGGCGAAUUUGGAAAUUUUUUGUUUUUUUUUCACACUAAUAAAAGUCUACGUUGAAAUCAUACAAUUAAGACUACUAAUUAAUAGAAAUAUCUCAUGUGCAAAACAAAAUCCAAACUAGUCUAUCUGUCCUUCUAGAGUUAUACGGAAUGGUUUAAUAAGUCCGACCAUUUGAGAAUACUCAUACAACUAUCACAUGGAAAUUAAUUAGUAAUAAACUUUGUCUUCGUCUGAGAGAUUAUCUGUAAACCAAAUGAUGUUUAAGAAAUAAUCCAAACUAGUCUAUCUGUCAAUCUAGUAGUUAUAGAAGUGUGUCUGUAUUCUAAUUAGAAAUUGCACAUGUUAUGAAAUAACAGAUAACCAAAUGUAUAAUUCUUUAAGGCUUUUAGAUAGUAAUUUAUCUCAUAUCCUCAUUGCAAAAUAGCCAGAAAUUUAAUUUUUAUUUUUAUAUACUUUUAAUAAUCGUAAACAUAAAAUAAUAUAUUUCUUUUUAAUACUUUUAAUAAUCGUGAAGGCUCGUAGAUAGUUUUAUAUAACUCGAAAACUUGGGAUUUGUCUAGUUAAUUAGUUUAUAGGAUCGACUUAACCACCAAAUUUCUUUUAUGGAUGAUAUAUUGUGUUUUUAUCGGUUUUAAGUCUUUUUUUUCUUUUUCAUUUUAUAACUUUUAUUGAGUCAAAGUGUCUUUUUAGAGUCUUUUAGUCCAUUAUAGAGUUCUUACAGGUUUUAGGUUGCUUUGGAAUAAAACGAGCUGUUUUGGGAAGCAAACACACAUUUGGAGAUGCAGAUUCAUGUAGAAGUGUCAGAUGUUUGGGAUCAGAUGAACAACUUUCCACCGUUAGAUCUUUUUCAUAUUUUGACACAAGAUGAAGACAGAUGUUAGCUUUCAUUUUCAAGUGACUUGAAAGAAAUCUAACGGUUAAUUCAAGAGUUACACCCGAUUUCGUGAAUACAGGUCAUUCUGACGAGUAACUGAAGUAGAUGCAGAUUGAAACCUGAGAGUCCCAGACCGAUCGGUCUACACCCGGGACCGAUCGAUCCCUUACCUCUGACGUAUUUUUGGGCCCUUAUUCGAUCCGAAACAUACCCAACUCGUCUCCUAUUGUUUUUAAACCCUAGGCUCGACUUUUGAGCAGCUAUCCUUCAUAUUUUUGAGUUCUAAACAUUGUUCUUUGCUUUCUAAACAAUUUUGGGAGAAGAAUCAAUCAUCUUGACACUUGGAGAAGAUUUCUAAACCCUUUCUUAUUAUAUUUGCAAUUUCAUCAUGUUUUCUUUCAUAUCUAUUUGCUUUGUUUCAAUUGCUAUGUCUGAGUAGUCUCUUAAUUGGGUUUUAGGGUUUCAAGUAGGAGAAUUCAAUGAUUUGAUAGAUUGGAUGUAUUAGGGAAUUCUUAAUCUUUAGGUUCUUCAAUUUACAUGUUCAAAAUGCUAGAAUAGGAUUGAUCACCCUGUUUUAGAACUUAGGCUUUUAUGUGUUUCAGAGAUGUUCAAUAAAAUGCCUGAAUGAAUGUAAAUUGAGCAUUGUAUUUCUAACCUGCGAGAGUUGAUGUUAGAACGCUUUGUGAACCAAAUGAACCUGUUUGAUAAUGCAAAUUUGGCUAGCAAAUUACAAAUGAGAGUUUAGUAAUUGAAUAGUUAAAAUUUAUUGACUAAUGUCUUGAGAGAGAAUUAGUCUAAACUUCUGUUCAUGUUCAAGAACGGUUCUUCAUGUUUGAAUUCCUUAUUGCUUUUAUUUGUUAUUCAUUGAUUCUCUGAAAUUACCCUGCAGCCCAAUAUCUUUAAUUCAUAAGUUUAAUCUCUUUAUUUGCAUUUUUAUUUACAAAAACUGAAAACCGAACAACAAGUCUUUUCCGCUUUAGCUGAUAACGAGUCUCGAAAGUCUUUAGUGUACAAUUGCUCCUUGUGAUCGAUCCCGCAUAUACUUUACUUCGGUUAAGUUAUCGGGUUAAAUACUCGAGUAAUCAAUGGAUAUACAAAGUAGAACCAAUAUACUCUUAGCGAUUACCAGCUAAUCUGAAUUAACCAUGGAAAUUAUUAAGUGUUCUUUAAUAAUCAAAUCAUAUCUAUAAAAAAUGAGUCAACUAAUCCACCUAUUAAAGACAAAUUAUCAAUUAAACAUUCACAUUUCUCUCCUAACGAAAACCCUAUAAAUACACACUAAAAGCUUUACAUUUCUCUCCACCCAUCUCAAACAAACUUAAAAGCACUACUACUUCUUGAGCCUUUUAAACUGCACAAACAAAUGGCUCCAAGAAUCUCCCUUGCACUCUUCCUUUCCCUUAACCUCCUCUUCUUCACUUACACCUCUGCGACCACUCCGAGCAGAAGGACUUGUCCUAAAGAUUCCCUAAAACUCGGUGUUUGCGCCAAUGUGCUCAAGCUUGUGGACCUAAAAUUGGGAAACCCACCUGUGAAGCCAUGCUGCUCUCUCAUCCAAGGCUUGGCUGACCUUGAGGCUGCUGUCUGCCUCUGCACUGUGCUCAAGGCUAACGUUCUUGGAAUCAACCUUAACCUUCCUAUCGAUCUCAGCGUUCUCCUCAAUGUUUGCAGUAGAAAAGCUCCAAAGAACUUCCAGUGCGCCUAAGUGAAAAAACUUAUGGCAUACCUACAUACAUUUGAUGAAGUCUCGAACUUAUAUUCUUUUCCUCAUGUUUUACUUUAAGGUGAUCUAUUUUUUUGUAUUUUUCUUGACUUUUUAAAAAUGAACGUACGUUUUCAUGUAAUAAUGGAUACUGCAUGGGUUUGUCCUGUCUGUGCAUGUAAUCGGCAAAUUUGUACUCCUUUACUUCAUUGUUCCUUUAUAUCCUCUUUGCAACUGUAUUCUUCGAAUUUUACUUAUAAAUUCAUUUCUCACUAUGAUUAAAUUUUAACUUAACAAUUAAAAAUCCCCACUGAACACCAAAUUAUAUUUUCACCAAAACACUACAAUAUUAAUUCAAGGCUCUUCGAAAGAGUCCGCUCCGGUUUUCUACCAUUGUCAACUCCGUGUGGUGGCCCUCUGGGGAGAAGUCCACUCUGAAACACUUCGGUGUGUUUCUACCGCGACUGACCGGAUCAGUCGAUAGGAUUUAUAUAUAAAAAAAAAUUCAUAAUCAAUGUCAAUUUUUAACAAGUAAGCUGAUCAUUGUUUUCAUAUACUAUUUUAGGAGUCAUUUGUCUUUCAAUAUAGAAAUUUCAAAACAAAUGACUUUCUAACUAUUUAUCUAGAAUAAAUUUCAUUAUGAAAUUAAGUUUUUCUCAGUAUGAUCUAUCAAUUUCACGCAAUAAAAAUUUCACUUGUAAUCGAUCCGAUAAACAUUGGGUCAGCAAAAUUUUGGUUUGAUUUCUGGUAGCAUGUGUCAAGCUAUAUGAAAAUGAAUGGAUUUCCGACUCAAAAACAAUUGACAGUCAGUAAAUUAACUGUAUAUUUCCCUAUAUAUUACAUUAGGUUUUUUAUAUUUUUUCCUUUACUUUCAAUCUUGAUUUGAUUAACCUGCUGAGAUAUUGAAAAGAACAUACUUUUUUCUUUUCUUUUUUUAACUUAAAAAAAAAAUCUGAUCCAAUAAGAAUUAAAAGAACACCACUAGUUGAAUAUACGAUUUGAAGAUAAUUCAUAUUUUAUUGUUGUAUAUGUAAAAUUUAAAGUUUACUCUUUAAGGUUUAGGGUUUAAAAUUGUAACAAGUUUGAAUUAUGAUUUUUUUAAAGAAUAUAAUGAAGUGUGAAGCGUGUUUUUUUGGUAACAUAUAAUAUUCUAUGAAAACCUAAACAUUAUGGCUAUUUGGUAUACAGUACUAUUGCUUAUGUGAAUAAAAUCUUUGCACAUCCCAAAAGUCUCGGGUCAACUUUCAAAAAGAAAAAUAUACAGCAAAAUUUCAACUUUGUAUUCACUUAAUUAUUGUUUAGAAAUUAUGAUCAUUGAUUUUAUUAAUUCCAGUAAUACAGAAGUAUGUUUUUAUUCCUUUUUCUAAAAGAAAAUGUAUAAUAGUUACUUUUGAUGUGUUAACCACCUAUAGUCUCCUAUCAAUUUCUUUAAUUCAUUCUUCACGUCUUUAUAGAUAUACUAUGUAAUUAAUAAAAGAAAAUUUCAUUAUUGUAAAAAAAAAAAGGAAUAGAUUUUGGCAUGAUGAUUAUCACGAAACUAUAUAUAUGUUAUUUAUUUAGCAAAGUGAUAAAAUAGUAUGAUCUCGCAUAUACAUCUUAUUCGAUAUAACUCAUAUAGACGUAUUAUCCGAAAGAUAAAAUAACAAAUUUUUUUUUCAUAUUGAACAUUACUUUCCUUUUAAAUUUGGAGUAAAGUAUUAUUUUGACGAAUUUGGAUUUUUUUUUUUCACACUAUCAAAUUGAACUUUGAUGUCAUAUUUGUGCUAAACCAUCUAAUAAAGUCUAACGCUGAGACUACCAAUACAAAUAUCACAUGUCGUCAAAACAAAUUCCAAACAAGUCCCAUCUGUUCUUCAAAUUAUACGGAAUGAUUUCAUAAGUCCAACCAUUUGAGACUACUAAAUACAAUUAUAACAUGGUAAUGAAGUAAUAAACUUUGUCUUCGUUUGAGAUAUUAUCUGUAAGCUAAAUGAUGUUUUAGAAACAAUCCAAACUAGUCUAUCUGCUCAAUCUAGUAAUAAUAGAAGUGUGUAUGUAUUCUUAUUAGAACUUGCACAUGUUUUGAAAUAAUACAUAACCAAAUGUAUGAUGAUGUCUAAGGCUUUUAGAUGGUAAUUAUAUUCUCAUUGAAAAAUAACCAGAAAGAAAAAGAAAAUAUUAUUUUUAUAUGCUUUUAAUAAAAUAUAAAAUAGAUAAAUAUUUUUUAUACUUUUAAUAAUAAUCGUGAAGGCUCGAAAAUAGAUCGAUAUAAUUUGAAAACUUGGGAGUUUUCUGGUUAAUUAGUUUAGAAGAUCGACUUCAACCACCAAAUUUCUUUUAUGGAUACACAAAUUAGAACAAUAUACUCAUUACCAGCUAAUUUGACCAAUGAGAAUUAAGAGUUCUUUAAUAAUCAAAUCAUAUCUAUAAAAAAUGAGUCAACUAAUCCCUUAUUGAGACAAAUUAUCAAUUAAACCUUUACAUUUCUCUCUUAUUGAAAAUUCUAUAAAUAGACGCUAAAGCUUAACAUAUCUCUCCACCCAUCUCAAACAAACUUAAAAGCACUACUACUUCUUGAGCCUUUUAAACUGCACAAACAAAUGGCUCCAAGAAUCUCCCUUGCACUCUUCCUUUCCCUCAACCUCCUCUUCUUCACUUACACCUCUGCGACCACCCCGAGCAGAAGGACUUGUCCUAAAGAUUCCCUACAACUCGGUGUUUGCGCCAAUGUACUCAAGCUAGUGGACCUAACAUUGGGAAACCCACCAGUAAAGCCAUGCUGCUCUCUCAUCCAAGGCUUGGCUGACCUUGAGGCUGCUGUCUGCCUCUGCACUGUGCUCAAGGCUAACGUUCUUGGAAUCAACCUUAACCUUCCCAUUGAUCUAAGCGUUCUCCUCAAUGUUUGCAGUAGAAAAGCUCCAAAGAACUUCCAGUGCGCGUAAGUGAAAAAACUUAUGGCAUACCUAUAAAAUAAACGAAUCAUACGUUUAAUGAAGUCUCGAACUUAUAGUCUUUUCUUCAUGUUUUAUGUUAAGGUGAUCUAUUUUUUGUAUUUUUCUUGAAUUGUUAACGUACGUUUUCAUGUAAUAAUGGAUACUACAUGGGUUUGUCUAUGCAUGUAAUCGGCAAAUUUGUUCUCCUUUGCUUCAUUGUUCCUUUUUAUCUUCUUUGUAACUGUAUUUUUCGAAUUUUACUUAUAAAUUCACUUCUCACUAUGAUUAAAUUUUAACUUAAACCUCUUUAACCAAUCAAACCUUAGCUUUCUCCUCAUCGUUUGCGGCAGAAAGGCUACACGUGGGUUCCAAUGCCCUUAUUUAAAAAAGUUAAUUUCUAAAACUCUUGAAACUGUUUACAAAAAUGUAAACUGUUUGCCGUAAGACCUCACAAUAAUAAGAUCGGCGGAUUAAACCCAAAAGCCUGUUAAAUCUUAAACAAACAGCGACUUGAAUGGUUUUUUUAAUAAGAAAACCAUGUUUUAGAUGUGAAUUAUAUAUAUAGCAGUCGCAAUUUGGGAUUAUCUGUGUUAUAUUUACAAAUAUGUUUAGGUUUCGUAAGAUUCAUAAUCAUUAAUCAAUGUCAAUUCGUAACGAGUAAACUGAUCACUGUUUUCAUAUACUACUUUUUAUACCAAAAUUGAAAAGCACAUGUAUUAAACGUCCAAAAAAUCAUAGAUGGCGAAUUUUUAGUUUUUUUCUCUUUUUUCUUUUGUUUUUGAUUUAUUUUAAAAUUCUGACCCAAUAAGAAUUAAAAGAACAUUAAUAGUUGUAUAUACUUUGAAUAUAAUUCAUAUUCUGUUGUUGUAUAUGUGAAAUUUAACGUUUAUUCUUUAGGUUUCAGGGUUUAAAAUAUUGUAACGAAUUUGAAUUAUGAUUUGUUAACGAAUAUUAUCAAGUGUGAAGCAUGUUUUUUUGGUAACAUAUUAAUAUCCUAUGAAAACCUAAGCAUCAUGGUUAUUUGGUAUAAAGAUUUGCUUAUGUUAAUCAAAUCUUUGCACAUCCCAAAAAUAUCGGGUCAACUUUCAAAAAGAAAAAGAUUCAGCAAAAGUUUAACAUUUUUUUUCAGUUCAUUAUUGUUUAUAUCAUUGAUUUUAUUCCAUUAUUACCUGUAUGUAUUUAGUCUUACACAGGUAUGUUUUUAUUCCUUUUUCUAAGAAAACUAGGCUCGGACCCGCGCUACAGCGCGGGGGAAAAGUGUCGGUUUUUGUUUUUUUUCCGAAUUACGUAAACUUUUAACUGUUAAAAUGGAUUGUUGGUGUUGAAUUUGGCAAGUAUGAGAAUAUGUACUAUCGUGGAUGUGUACUUUGUCACGUUUGCUAGGUUUAAAUCCGCGCUACAACACGAAAGAAUAUUUUCAAGUUUAUUUUAUUUUAACGUGUUUUGUCGUAUGUGUUAUUAUUUCGUUCAUUUUAGUAUCAACAAUUAUUAUUUCGAAAUGUAUAUUUGGUUUCAAUUCUUUGAGAAAAGUGUGUUUUCGGAAAUUAAAUAUAAUAUUUUUAUAAACUAAAUAAAAGAACGUUUAUUAAACAAAUUGUAUAUUCACAAUGUAUGUGGUGACUAACUAACCAAUCAGCAAAAACCCGUGUAUUUAAAAAAAAAAUCAUGAAAAUAUAUGAUAUUGAAAAAUCAUGAAAAUCAUGUAUAUACAUGUAUCACACAAGAACAUAUGAGUUUGAAAGAUUUGUAUAUACUUGUAUCCUAUAAAAAUAAAAUAAAAAUAUUAUUAUACUUCAUAUUGUAUAAGAGACCAUAAUAUUCUUGUUAUUAACAUAUUAAAAUAUUUAGAACAUUUUAAGGAAAAUUCAGAAUUUAAGGUAAUUUAUUUAAACUAACUUAUGGAAUAUAUUCUUUAUGACUGAUUUUGUAUUAGUAGUGAUUCGAUGAUUAAUAAUUACAAAGAUAAAAUAUUGUUAUUAAAGUAUUUUUAGUUAAUUAUAAUAAUUAUCCUAAAAUUUAAUUAUUUUUUUUGUAUCCAAAAUAUUUCAUAUUACUCAUUGAAAUAUAUUAAUGAUUGUAAAUUAUUUUUUUUUUCAAAAUUCAAAUAUAACCAUUUCUAGAUAUAUAUGGAUCUCUAUAAUUUUGCAUUAAUUAUGCUAUUGAUAAAAUAUUAUUCUUUUUUUAUAGGUAAUUCAAAUUGAUAAAGAUUAAAAUAAUUUUGAAACCUCUUUUCAUAUACUAUUUUUUUAUUCUGAUUAAAUCUUUUAUUUAACUAUUAGGGAAUGUAAAAAAUAAUAAUAANNNNNNNNNNNNNNNNNNNNNNNNNNNNNNNNNNNNNNNNNNNNNNNNNNNNNNNNNNNNNNNNNNNNNNNNNNNNNNNNNNNNNNNNNNNNNNNNNNNNNNNNNNNNNNNNNNNNNNNNNNNNUUUUAUUGAUUAUAUUACCAUUAUUUAUGUAUUUUAGAUGCAUUUUUAUAUUUGUUAUACCAAAUAUUUUUAAAUUAUAUUUUUCUAUAUAUCAAAUAUUUAAACUUAUAAAAAAUUAUAAUUUUUUUUGUUUUUUCAUAUAAGAAAUUAAUAUAAUAAUUAGAAUAUUUUUAAAAGAUUGAGAUCUUUAUAUUCAUAAACAAAUUUUCCUUAUAAGACAUAUUUUUAUAUUUAGCAUUAAUAUAGUUUCCUAAAUGAUAGGAAUCUGGUGUAUAUUAUUGAAAUAUUUGAAAAAUAUUUAACAAAAAAUUUGGCAAGUAUCCGAUUGAAACCCGGAAUAUUUUGAAAAACCCGACCCGAAUCCCUUGUGUACUUCUCUUUUACUAUAGUAGGGAUGUCUAAUAGUUACUUUCGUUUUGUUAAUUACCUAUAAUCUAUGGUGACAUAAAAAAAUAUUAUAUACGUUCAUUAAGAAAUAACUUUGCCUAUUGAGAAUUAGCUUUGCCUGGUUUAAACUAUUGAUUUUUAGACGAAUUUGAUUUUUUUUUUUUUCACACUAUCAAAUUGAACGUUAUAGGAUCGAUAUGAUUCGAGAACAUUGGAGUUGUCUAGUUAAUUAUUUCAUUUUAUAGGAUCGACUUUUACAGAUGACCAGCUAAUUAAAACAAUGACAAUUAAUUGUUUUCUAAUAAUCAAAUCAUAUCUAAAAAAAAUUAGUCAAAUAAUCCACCUAUUAAAGACAAAUUAUAAAUUAAACCUUCACAUUUCUCUCCUAAUGAAACCCCUAUAAAUAUACACGAAACAGUUAACAUCACCCAUCUCAACGAAACUUAAACGCACUACUAGUAAACUUCUCGAGCCUAUUCCUCUCCACAAUUACAAAUGGCUCCAAGAACCUCCCUUGCACUCUUCCUUUCUCUCAACCUUCUCUUCUUCACUUACGCCUCUGCGGCUUGUCCUAGAGACUCCCUACAGCUCGGUGUUUGCGCCAAAGUACUCUUGCAAGUGGAGCUAAAAUUUAACACAUCUUUAAAGCCAUGCUGCUCUCUCAUCCAAGGCUUGGCUGACCUUGAUGCUGCUGUAUGCCUCUGUGAUGUGCUCAAGACUAAGGUUCUUGGAACACCUCUUAACCUUCCCCUCAAUCCCAGCGUACUCCUCAGUGUUUGCGGUAGAGAAGCUCCAAACAACUUCCAGUGCGCGUAAGUUGAAUGGGUGUUUAUGAUGAACCUAUCUUCUUAUCUUCUUGUUUUAUGUUAAGGUGGUUUUUUUUUUUUUUUUGUAUUUUUCUUGAAUUCGUUUUCAUGCAAAUAUGCAAUAAUGGAUAUAAUGCAUGGGUUUGUGUAUGCAUGUAAUCGGCAAGUUUGUACUCCUUUACUUCAUUGUUCCUCUGUCCCUUCUUUGUAAUUAUUUUUUUUCGAAUUUGAUAUAAUAAUUUCACUUCUUACUAUAAUUAAAUUUUAACAUAAUUAGAAAUGAAAAAAAGCCAUAUUGGAAAAAUAAUAAUUAAGAUGCUUGGAAUCUCGGUGUUUAAUGAACUUGGUGAAUGUGACAUUAGUCAUUAAGUGCUUCUUAAUUUAGUUAAGCCGUGUAAAUGUAAUUGCAACCUCAUUGAAGGUUUCGCUGAUGACCUAGAAGCUGCGGUAUCAUCAUUAACCUUAGCUUGAUCCUCAGCUUCACAUGGCUUCCAAUGCCCUUAAUUUAAAAACAAUUAUUUCUAAAACUUGGUUAAUAGGAAUUAAUUAUAUACAAAUAUUGAAGCUGUUUUCCGGCAGAUCUCACCAAGAUCGAAGUCUAUAUUUGAUCUGAACAGUUUUGUACCUCAAACUAACAAGUGCAAAUUAAGUAAACUAAUCAUUUUCGAAUUAUAUUUUAGGAGAUCUUUUUCUUUUCAAUGUAAGAUUUUCAGCAGAAAUGACUCUUCUAACUUUUUAUCUGAUUUAAUCUAUAUAUAUAUAAAGUUAGCUUUUUCUCUCUUCUCCUUAAGCCACAUCAUCAUCCACCUCAUUUUAUUAUUUAAUUUUUAAAAUUAAUUAUACCAUUUUAUCAUUUAAUUUUAAGAUUUAAACCUAUAUAAACCUAUAUAAAGUUAGCUUUUUCUCUCUUCUCCUUAAGCCACAUCAUCAUCCACCUCAUUUUAUUAUUUAAUUUUUAAAAUUAAUUAUACCAUUUAUCAUUUAAUUUUAAGAUUUAAACCUAUAUAAAUAAAUUUAUCAAAAAUGAAUAUGAAAGGUCUUUUUUAUAGAAAUUUGGUGGUUGUGUCAGGAAAUUUGAUAAUAUUAACUUUAUAUAUAUAGAUUACAUCUUAUCUCAACAGAUAUUAGACUUACUAUAAUGUCAAAUUGUUUCUUAAUUUAUAUUUGAUUUCAAUUUUAAAUCAUUUCCUCUGCUUUCAAUUUUUGACUUGAUUAACCCGUCAGAGUUCAAAAAAAAAAAAUUAGUUUAUAUUAUUGAUCACAUUGGACAUGCUUUCCCUAAAAUUCUUGCAAAGUUGCAAUUGGCCAAAAUUUAAAAUUUAAGUUAGACGAAUUAAUAUGUAUCUUUCUUUUUUUAAGUUAAGUGAAAUAUGAUUUGAUAACUCCAACCAUCUGAGAUGAAAUAAUACAAUAUUAUCACAUGGAAAUGAAAUAAUAAACUAUAUGUCUUCGUCUGACUAAAUGAUGUUUUAGAAAUAAUGGUGACAAAGGUAUUUGUUAAAUAUAUCACAUGGACAAAGCAUGGAGGAAUAAAGAAACUCAUUCCAAUUUCGAUGUGCUUAAUUAACAAAAAUAGAUGUUUAAAUGAAAAUAGCAGGUUUUAGAAAAGAAACCUGUGAUACCUAGAUAUACAUAAUAUUUGCUUAGAUAUAGGUGCUAUACUACUAGCUUUGAUAUAACGUCAAAAAUAACUCACUCCAACUUAUUAUCCCUUGAUGAUGAAGAGUUUUUAGGUUUAACUUGCGAAAGGUGGGAUUUACGAGCUGGUCUGAAUCACUCUCUCGUCAAUCAGGAGGUCGUACAGGGAAUAGAUCAGGUGAGUGACUCGUUUAAUCAGUAGGAUAAAUGACUCACUCGAUCAAUGGACGAAUGAAGGAUGUUGAAUCACUCAACAAACUUAGUUCGCAGAUUUUGUAAGUAUUAAGUGACUCACUCAUAAAGAACUGAAAAACAAGAUUGAAAAGACUCAAACUUUGACAAGAAGAAAAAAUUUCUACUGCUUUGAAAUGAUCAAGGGUGUUUUACAAAUGAACAAUCUAAUGAGCUUAUAUAGGCUCAACUACACGUUCUAGUAGUCUAAAAGAGGUGUAUUCAAAAUGGAAUUUUAAGAGAUUUGAGUUUUUAAAUGAUUAUGAUGAUUUUAGAGAAGUUCAUAUGACUUUUGUAAAAUCCUUUUACAUCUCACCAAAAACCAUGAGAUUUGGAUUUCUGUAUUUUUAACUAAGGAAUUCCUUUCAAAUCUUCUGAAAUCCUUCAAAAUCAUUAAAAGCCAAAUCCACAAAUUGUUUUCAAUAACAGUGGAUUUGAAUGUGGAUUUUGAAAUAAUUAGUUCAAUAACAAUGGAUUUCAUGAGACUUUUUAAAAUUUAUAUUUGAAUAACACUAGAUUAAUAAGUUCUACACAAAUCUCUUAAAAUGCUACUUUGAAUACACCUCCCUAAACCAAGAAACAAAUCGCAUAAAAUUGAAGACACUAGCCGUUGGGAAUUUAUGAACCAAAUCAGCUAAAUAAGGCAAGUAGAAAGAUACCUUGAGUUUUGAAAGCUUUGGUGCGAAAACAUGAUUUCUUAAGGUGUCUAGGUUCAUUUUAGAAAGCUUCAAGAUGUACAUAAGAAAAUAAGGAAGUAGUCGUUGCAGCUUUAUCUCCUUUGGUUCCAUGUAUGAUAAGUAGUGACUCGUCGGUUUCUUGUAUGGUAAGGUGUACUAAAGGUCGUGUUGCACAAGUAUUGUUUGGUCUAAAUAUUUACAUGGUUUCCAUAUCUUAUUAUAUAAACCUUGGUUUUCAAAGUUAGCCAUUAACAAGAUCGUGACACGUGUUAAUUAUAAUUGAUAAGAUAUUGACACAUGUCGUAACUAAUUUUGUUAAUAUUUGGAUAAUAUAGAAAUAUUAUUAACCCUAUCGAAAAAAGAAAUAUAUAAAAUAAAUAUUAUUAAUAAAAUAUACAAAUAACCUAAUUUCAGUUAUGUCAAUUUGGUUUAUCAAUAAGAUAGGGAUUUAAAAUUUAUAAUUAACAAGAAUAUAUGACGAUUUUUGUUUACAGAAGAGAAUUAAGGUUUAAACUUUAAUUUUACGAUUAAAUCAGGUUAUUUGUUGGUUUGGGUAUAUAAAUGAUAAAUAAGAAUUAUGGUUUAUCUUUAUAAAUUAAAAUUAUGGUUGAAGUUUAACAAUUAAACGAGAUUAUAUGUCGAAACUUGGUUUUUAAANNNNNNNNNNNNNNNNNNNNNNNNNNNNNNNNNNNNNNNNNNNNNNNNNNNNNNNNNNNNNNNNNNNNNNNNNNNNNNNNNNNNNNNNNNNNNNNNNNNNUGCAAUAUGGUAUAUCUAAUUUUGUUAAUAUUAAGAUACAAAUAGAUUUUUUAAACAACAUUAAAAAAUAAUUAUAAAAAAUGAAAGAGAAUUUUUGAGAAAUAUCCCUUUUGGUGUAUCACUUUUCAAAAAUACCUCAUUUAUCUAUCCAUUUUCAAAAAUAUCCAUGUUUAAAUAUGAAAAAUUUUAAAGUUUUAUAUGGUUUAUAAGGCACUUUUAUAUAAUAACUACUACUUGGAAAUUUGAUACAAAUAUUUUAUAAUGUUUUAAAAGAUUCUGAAUCGUUUUUACAAGUUUUAUAAGGUUUUUAAGUGGUUUUAAAAAGGGUUUAUAAGGUUUUUAAAAGGUAUUUAUAAGUUAUUUUACGCUAUUUAUGAAAGAUAUAUAAAAAUUUUAACAUAUAUAAAGGUAAUUUGUGUGUAUAUUUAUAAGUUUACACACAUAUUUGGAUAAAUUUUAAUAUUUAUAGUUGUUUUUUUAUAAAGUUUGAAAUAGGGGUAUUUUUAAAAAGUGGUAUGGAAAAAGGAUAUUUUUGAUAAAUUAAAAAGUAAAAAAAUUGAAAUUUAUAUAAAAAAAGCGUAAGCUUAUAUAUUUAGACACAAAUUAUCUUUCUAUUUGUGUAAAUUUUAAAUACCAUAUAAAUACCUUUUAAAAACCUUUUAAAAUUAUUUAAAAAACAUAUAAAAACUUUGUAAAUCUUAUAAAAACCUUAUAAAAGUCUUAUAAAUGCCGUUUAAAACCUUUUUAAAACUUUAUAAAUAUUUGUAUUGAGUCUCCCAAUAGUAAUGAUGAUCUAGAUGUACCUUAUAAACUAUAUAAAAGUUGACAGUUUUUCAUAUUUGAAAAGGGAUAUUUUUAAAAUGGAUAGAAAAUUGGUGUAUUUUUAAAAAGAGGUACACCAAAAGGGGUAUUUCUCAAAAAUUCUCUUUUAACUAUUAACCUAAUUUUUGGUUUUGCGAGUUGUAGGUUUUACAAUUAUAAGGGUUAUAUGUUGAGUUUAUAAAUGUGCAUUAUAGUUUAGAUUUUAUUAUUAAACGAGAUUAUUUAUCGGUUUGGGUUUAUUAAAGAUGAGUGAGAUUUAGGUUUAACAAUUAAACAAGGUUAUUUCUCAGUUUGGGUUCAUAAAGGAGAAUUAGGAUUUACAAUUUACAAAUAAAUUAGAUUUUGAGUUUAACUAAAUUCAUAAUUUUAUUCAUGAUUUCUAUUUUAUAAUAUGUUAUAUUUGUUUAAUUUUUAAUUUAUGUACGAAUGUAUUAUGCCAUUGAGCAAUUUCAUUGUCUAAAACAUAAGGGUGAAUAAAAUAACAAAGUUUAAUAUAAAUCGUAAUAUAGUAAUUUUAAAAUAUUUUUAAAGAAAAUANNNNNNNNNNNNNNNNNNNNNNNNNNNNNNNNNNNNNNNNNNNNNNNNNNNNNNNNNNNNNNNNNNNNNNNNNNNNNNNNNNNNNNNNNNNNNNNNNNNNAAUUCGUAAUUGAAAUUUUUUUUAAUGUUUUCGUCAACGAUGUUGUAAUUUAUUUUAGAAUCUUUAUGUUUAUUUGCGUUGUUUAUAUGAUUUUAUUUACAAAUGACUAUAUUUGUAUUUAACAUCAUAUUUUUGAUUGAUGUUAAUUUGAAAGAACUUUACCAUCAUAUUAAAUAAUAAUUAAUUAAUUUUCAUAGUCUGAGUAUGAUUUUUUGAAAAAUUGAAAGUUAAGAAAUAACAAUUUUUACAAAAUGGUAUAAUCAUGUUUUAGAGGAUAAUUGGUAAAUUAAGAUUUUUUGAAAUAUUUUAGCAAGAUUAUGAGUAAUGGUGAAUAGCUCCCAAAUAGCUCCCAAAUGUUUUGGUGAUUGUCAGUUUGACAUUACUAGAUUUAUAUAAUUAACGUUUUAUAACGAAUUUUAUUAAAUAUAUAUUUCAAACCAAAUAAAAUCUCUUUCCAAAUGAAAUUAAUUUCUCUUAUUUUUUCAAACAAAACUUUUGAAAUUAUAUUUUUAUAAUUUAUAGUAAAUUUUAAUUUUAAUUUAAUUUUAAAUAAAGAUAACCCGUCCAUCGGACGGGUACUAUACUAGUAUAGAUAUAAAAUCUACAUUCGGUCCAAUAUUCAUUUUUUUAUCUUCAAUCGAAUUUUUUAGCUUUUUUAAUAUUUUAAAAUUCUUAUCCAAUAUAAUUAAGAGAACACUAAUACUCUAUUGUUGUAUGUGCGACCCGAUUAUAAUUCGAAAGAAUACCAAUACGUUAUCGUAUUUUGUUUUUAAUGUCUGUAUUUCACUAUGGUAAAGAUUGUACAUGAUUACAAUGCAAAUAAUUAAUCAGAAGCUGGGAUACAAAGUAGUGAAAAAGAAACUGAUUAUCGUUUAAUCGGAGAUUUGGCCAAAAUAUUUGUUGCUUUGUCGUUUGCUCUAUGUAUCUAACAAAAUUUGACUGAUUCAAAUUUUUGUUUCCAAUGUGUGGUUUCUUGAAAUCUAAUUAUAAUAAGAAAAGUUGUGAUUCCUUUUAUGUACAUAGCAUGUCAAUGACUUGUUUAGAGUCUCCUUCGAAUAUUACUCGCUGAUGUCCUUGACUCCAAGUGUGCUGCAUUGCCAUAACCAAUACAUUAUCGUUAUAUAAGUAAAAUAACCUAGAGUUUAGGAUUUAAAGUUAUAGCGAGUUUGCAUCAUGAUUUGUUAACGAAUAUUAUGAAAUGUGAAGCAUGUUUUAUUUCGUAAGAUAUUAUCCUAUUAAAAACUACAAUAAAAUCUCUACAACUUGAUACUCGACAAAUUAAUAAUCUCCAUAAAUUAAUAAUUAAAUGAAAUUAUUAAUAUAUAUAUAUAUAUGUAAUAUUUUUAGUGAAAUAUAAUUAUCAUUAUGUUAAAUAUUCUUAUAUUUACAUUAGUUUUUGUUAGCAUUCAAUUCUAAUAGAUUUCAUGUAUCAAUAAAUUUAUAGUGUUUUAUUCAUUCAUGAUGAUUGUUGUUUUUUGUUGUAAUUGAUUAUAAAAAAAAUAUUGAUUAGAAUGGUUAAAUUUUAUUUUGAGGUAUAUAUAUUUUUAAAUUUACCAAAUUAGGAAAAUAUUGAUAAAUUAAUGAUUUUAUAAAUUAAUAAAAUUUAAUGAUCCUAACAUUAUUAGUUUAUAGAGGUUUUACAGUAUUGCUUAUGUGAAUCAAAUCUUUGGGCAUCCCAAAUAUAUCGGGUCAACUUUCAAAAAGAAAAAUAUACAGCAAAAGUUCAACUUAUGUUUUCAUUUGAUUAUUGUUUAUGAUCGUUGACUUCAUGCCAUUAUUACCUGUCUGUAGUCUUACAGAAAUAUGUUUAUCUGUUUUUGUAAGAAAAUAUAUAUUAUUUAUUUUUAAUGUAUUUACCAAAAAAAUCAUAUAUAAACUAUAUAUUUAUAUAUGUUAAUCUCCUAUAAUCAUAUGAUGAGAUAAAAAAUUAUUACGUUCGUUAAGAAUUAAUUUUUCCUUAAUAAACAUGACGAUGAUCACCAAUUAGUUAAAACUCUUUGAAACCAUAUGGUCAACUUCUUUCAUUUUCACGUUUUAUAGAUAUAUUACGUAGUUAAUUAAAGAGAACAUCACUUUAAAAAAAAUUAUAUAUAUAUAUAUAUAUAUAAUUGACCAAUCAAUCGAUCAAUAUUAUAGAUACGAAUGAUUUUAGCAUGAUGAUUAUCAUAUUAUAACAUUUAAUUUAUUUUAAAGAAUAGAAAUGGCCAAUCAAUUGAUCAAUUUUAUAGAAAAGAAUGAUUUUGGCAUGAUGAUUAUCAUAUUAUAUUAUAUUAGCAUGUUCGACCUUAAUUUAUAAUCCGUAUAUAAUAAAAUAUACACCAUUAGUACACGAAACUAUAUGUUACUUAAUCAGCAAAAUGAUCAAAGUAGUAUGAUCACGUACACUAUAUCAUUACAAUAUAUCAUAGAAAUGUAUUAUCCGAAAGAGAUUGAGAUAAGUCCAAACUAGUAAAUCUAGUUUUUGGAUUUUGUAAACCCAAAAAAAAUCCAAACUAAUAUAUCUGUCCUUCUUGUAACCCUUGUUAUAUACGGAGUGAUUUUAUAAGUCCAACAAUUUAAGAAUACUAAUACAACUAUCACGUGGAAAUGAAGUAAUAAAAUUUGUCUUCGUCUGAGAGACUAAAUGAUAAUGGUGAUAUAAGUAUGCCCCGUUACAAAGGUAUUUGUUGAAGGAUAAUAUUUAUGAGACUUUGCACAAUUAGUUUCCAAAAAUAAGAUUAAUAUAUUUGAUUAUAUUUUUAACACUCGUGAAGUCCCGUACAUACAUUGGUAUAAGUUAUACUGUAUAACUAGGAACUUUGGGAGUUGUCUACUUAAUUAGUUUAGAGGAUCGACUUCAACCAUACCAAAUUUUGUUUUAUGGAUAUAUAAUUUUAUACCAGCAACUAUAGGUUUUUAAUUAAAAUUAGAACCAUAUACUACUAGACAUUACCAGCUCAUUAUAGUGUUCUUUAAUGAUCAAAUCAUAUCAAUAACAAAAUUAGUCAACUAAUCCCCUAGUAACGACAAAUUAGCUAUGAAACCUUCACAAUUCUCUCCUAGUGAAAACCCUAUAAAUACACACUAAACACUUAACCUUUCUCUCCACCCAUCUCAAACAAGCUUAAACGCACUACUACUUCUUGAGCCUUUUCCACUCCACAAAACAAAAUGGCUCCAAGAACCUCCCUUGCACUCUUCCUUUCUCUCAACCUCCUCUUCUUCACUUUCACCUCUGCGACCACAGGUACUUGUCCUAGAGACGCCCUCAAGAUCGGUGUUUGCGUCAGUGUGCUCAACAUAGUGGACCUAACAUUGGGAAACCCACCCGUACAGCCAUGCUGCUCUCUCAUCCAAGGCUUAGCUGACCUUGAGGCUGCUGUCUGCCUUUGCACUGCUCUCAAGGCUAGCGUUCUUGGAAUCAACCUUAACCUUCCCAUCAACCUCAGCGUUCUCCUCAAUGUUUGCGGUAGAAAAGCUCCAACCAACUUCCAGUGCGCUUAAGUUAAAAAUGAAGUUAUGGCAAAAAAAAAAAAAAAAAAAAAAAAAAAAAAAAUCAAUAAUCAACAAUCAAUAAUCAUAUAUACAAUGUAUGAAUAAUAAAUGAAUAAUCAUACAAUGUAUGAAUACUUGAAACCGUUAUCUUAUCUUCUUGUCUUUAUUUUAAGGUGAUUUCUUUUUUUCUUUGCAUUUGUAUUUGUAUUUGUCGUGGAUUGUUGGAAACUAACGUAUGAACGUUCUCAUGCAAUUACCCAAUAUUGGGUUUUGUGUGUAGUCGGCAAGUUUUUUCCUCCUUUGCUUCAUUGUUCCUCCAUCUCUUCUUUGUAAUUGUGUCCUUCGACGUUUAUUAAUAAAAGUAUCCAUCUUUAUGUUUUUUUUGUCUAUAUUGGUUAUCGAGUAUUUAUGCAUGUCUAUCUUAUAAACCAAGAUAAAAAGAUAAUAUUACAUACAUGAUACAUAUAUAUACCACAAAAACAUGUCUUGGCUAGUAUUACCUUAGCUUGUAAGCAUUAAGACAUGUAACAUCCAUUGCCUAUACCAUGCAAGAAUGGUGGGGAAUUUUUUUUUUUUUUUUCAAACUAGAUAAGAAUGUGUACAAGAUAAAUUCUUCAAACAGACAGCACUUGCAAACUUGGGAGAUAGUUUAAAAUAAAGAACUACUAAAUGUAUUUUUUUAUUUUUUUUAUUUUUUUUAACUACUAAAUGUAUUGUAAUGUGUUAGACGUAAUAUACAUAGUAGUCAAAAUAUAUUUUGACAUAGAAUUUAGAACUUUUUGCCAAAUAUCAAAGGCUUUAAAAGUAGUAGAUAAUGUAAUUACUAAUAAGUUAAAAAAUCAUAAUUAAGUUGGUAAUCGAUUUUUGGCUUGACUUGGGACGAAAAAUGUAAUUUUUUCUUAACAAGUCACUGGUAUAUAUUUUUUGAGAACUAAACCUUGAGUUUUACUUAUAUGAAUAGUUAAAAGUCACAAUUUUGUAUUCACUUUAUUACUGUUUAUGAUCAUUGAUUUUUUUUCCAUUACUAACUGUAUUUAGUCUUACAGAAAUUAAUGUGUUUUUAUUCUUUUUUUGUAAGAAAAUCUAUAAUGUAGUAACCGGAAAAAUUCAAAUGAAAACAUAUGCAUGGUGAUAUUAAAAUCUAGGUUCAUUAAGAAAUAACUUUGCUUUUUGAUAGGAUCUUGUAAGAAUUAAUUUUGCCUUAUCAACAAGACGAUGAUCACUACUACAGUAUAUAUAUAUAUAUAUAUAUAUAUUACUUGCCGUUAUUUUAUUUUGUAGUAUAUUUUGUCGUUAAUAUAAUAAAAGGAUCUCGCACAUACAUCUCAUUCAACACAUAUACAUGAUUUAUUUACCAAAAAAUAAAAUAUAUACAUGAAUAUUUCGUUAUAACAACUCUAACAAUGAUUAUAUAUUAUUCAUACUGGACAUGCUUUCAAAUUUAAAUUUUGCGCAAAACUGCAAUUGGCCAAAAUUUAAUCUAGACGAGUUAUGGUUUGAUUAAGUCCAACCAUUUGAGACUACCAAAUAGUAUUAUUACAUGGAAAUGAAUUAAUAAACUUUGUCUUCGUCUGACUAAAUGAUGAUUUAAAAAUAAUGACAAAGGGAUUCGUUAAAUAUAUAUAUCACAUGCACAAUGCAUGGAGGAAUAAAAAAACUCAUUCCAAUUUCGAUGUGCUUAAUUAACAUAAAUAGAUGUUUAAAUGAUAAAUAGCAGGUUUUAAAAAAACUUGUGAUACCUAGAUAUACAUAAUGUUUUCUUAGAACUUGGUAUUAUACUACUAAUUAACUUUGAUACACUAAUUACUAACGUAAUAACUAAUAACAUAACUCUGUACUCCAACUAACCAAGAAAUCAUAAGAUCGAUUGGCAGCUGAUACAAGUAAAUCAUAAAUGGCUGGCUUGAGCUUAAUUAAAAGAUGAAUGUGAUUCAUAUAAUAUAAAAAUUCGUGAGUUGUCUAGUUAAUUAGUUUAGAAGAUCGACUUCAACCACCAAAUUGUUUUUAUAGAUAUACAAAUUAAAACCAUAUACUCUUAAAGAUUACCAGCUAAUUUGAACAAUGACAAUUAAGUGGUUUUUAAUAAUCAAAUCAUAUCUAUAAGAAAUAAGCCAACUAAUAAUUCAAAUUAUCAAUUAAACCUUCACAUUUCUCUCCUAAUGAAAACCCUAUAAAUACCCACUAAACACUUAACAUUUUUCUCCACACAUCUCAUACAAACUUAAACGCACUACUACUUCUUGAGCCUCUUCGACCUCACAAACCAAUGGCUCCAAGAACUUCCCUUGCACUCUUCCUUUCUCUCAACCUCCUCUUCUUCACUUACACCUCUGCGGCCACCCCGAGCAGACAGACUUGUCCUAGAGAUUCCCUACAGCUCGGUGUUUGCGCCAAUGUACUCAAGCUAGUGGACCUAACAUUGGGAAACCCACCUGUAAAGCCAUGCUGCUCUCUCAUCCAAGGCUUGGCUGACCUUGAAGCUGCUGUCUGCCUCUGCACUAUGCUCAAGGUUAACCUUCUUGGGAUCAACCUUAAUCUUCCCAUCGAUCUCAGCGUUCUCCUCAAUGUUUGCAGUAGAAAAGCUCCAAAGAACUUCCAGUGCGCGUAAGUUGAAUAGUGUUUAUGAAGUCUUGGACCUAUUUUCUUAUCUUCUUGUUUUAUGGUAAGGUGAUUUCGUUUUGUAAUUUUCUUGAAUUGUUUAAGUGAACGUACGUUCUCAUGCAAUAAUGGAUAAUGCAUGCAUGGGUUUGUGUAUACAAUACAUGUAUUUGGCAAGUUUGUACUCCUUUACUUCAUUGUUACCCCGUCCCUUCUUUGUAAUCUAUUUUUCGAAUUUGAUAUAAUAAAUUCACUUCUUACCAUAAUUAAAUUUUAACAUUAUAACUUAAAAAGCCCUAUUGGAAAAAAUAAUUAAAAUGCCCUAUCUGUUCUUCUUACAAAAGAUGCUUGGAAGCUCGAUGUUUAACUUGUUGAAUGUGACCAUCCUGUCUCUAUAUAUCUGAAGACCCAAUAGAAAAAUCAAGACUCUUACUCAAUUUUUCUUUUUCCAAUAUAAGAGAUUUUUACCAUAAGAAAUUUUCAAAAUUUUAUUUAUUUUGGAUCCAUAGCAAAUGCCUAGGUGCAACCUCAUUGACGGUUUGGUUGAAUCAGAUUAUGCGGUUUGUCUUUGCACCGUGAGUAAAGCUAAAAUUCUAAAACUUGUCGAUUGCAGCAGAAUGGUUUCCAAUGCCCUUAAUUUGAAAACGUAAAUUUCUAAAACUUGGUUCAUAGACUUAUUUAUAAAUAUGAAAGUUGUUUUCCCAUCAAAUAUAACCAUAUAUAAGAUUGAUAAACAGAAACCAAUAGCUGGUUAAACCUUAAAAAAACGAGAAAUUAACAAGAAUUUAUUUAGUAAACUAUUUUACGAGUGGCCAUUUCUCUUUUAAUAGUAUAGAUUUCCAACACACACAAAAAAAUGUUCUAACUUUAUAUCUUGACUUAAUUUCACUAUAAAAUCCCUAAUAUUAAUUUUGUCUCAGUUCGAUUGGAUCAAUUUCAAACCGUGAAAAUUCCAUGUCUACUCAAUCCAUUUAAUCUCUAGUCGGUUGUCGAAAAAAAAUAUUAUAAUCUCUAGUCGGCAAAAUUUUGGUUUGAUCUCAAUUGGAUUUCUGAUUCAAAAUUAAUUAACAGUGAGUAAAUUAAUGGCAAUUUCCUUAUAUAUAAUGUUAAGUCUCCAGAGUUCAAAAAGAACAAUUGGUUUUUUAUUUUAACAUGGUAUCAAAGUCUAUAUUUGAUCUUAUAUUCUUUUUCAUUUUGAAAAAUCACAUAUUCUUUAUUUAAUGUUUCGCUUUUUUUUUGCUCAUUUUAAAUUAUAACCUAAUAUAAUUAAGAGAACAUCAAUACUCUAUUAUUGUAUAUGCGACCCGAUGAUAAUUCAAAAGAAUACCGGUAGUCUAUUGUUAUAUACUGUAUAUGUGAAGUUAUUUAGGAUUUAUGAUUUAAAGUUAUAGCGAGUUUGCAAUAUGAUUUGUUAACGAAUAUUAUUAAAUGUGAAGCAUGUUUUCUUUGGUAACAAAUAAUAUACUAUACAAACCUAAGCGUCAGAAUUUUGGUAUACAAUAAUAUUGGUUAUGUGAAUCAAAUCUUCGGACAUCCCAAAUAUAACGGGUCAACUUUCAAAAAGAAAUAUAUUCAGCAAAAGUUCAACUUGGUUCUCACUUAACCGAAUACAAACCUGAAAUGCCUAACGAGAGAACAAACUUGAAAGCUGAAACAUUAGAGCAAAAAUACAAACUUAACGAAGUUUGAUAGAUCAUGUUUAACGAAGUUGUCAAAGCGGUGUAUGGUAGGCAAAGCUGUGAUGGAAACCCUUUUCAAAAGUCUUUUCACCACUGACUGUAAAGGAAGUCACCAUUUGAAUAUUAUUGUUAUGAUCACUAAUGUUAUGCCAUUAUAUAUUACCUGUAGCUUUAUGUAUAGUCUUACAAAUAUGUGAUAUAUAGUAUUUAUAUUUGAUGCACUAACCGAAAAUUUCAGAUAUAAACUUCUUUCAUUUUUGACGUCUUUUUAGAUAGAUUAUGUAGUUAAUAAAAAGAAUAUAAUUGACCAAUAAAUACAUCAAUUUUAUAGUAAAGAAUGAUUUUCGCAUGAUGAUUAUAUAUUAUUAAUUGUAAGCCUUUCCAUGGAAUUACUAAAUUCUCGAUAUCUCUUAUAGUCAGCUAGCUACACGUGAGCCAUACACUAUUUGCAUGUUCGACCAUUAUUUUAUUAAUCGGAAUAUAACAAAAGAUGCCAUUAUUAAUUCACGAAACCAUAUGUUAUUUAUUCAGAGAAAAAAAUAUCCAAGUGGUAAGAUCUCGCACAUACCUGAUCAUUCAAUAUAAAUCAUUGAAAUGUAUUAUCCGAAAGAGAAAUAAUAACGAUGAUUUUGUCGUUAAAUAACUUAAUAAGUAAAAGUCAUUUGCUAAUAAAAACAUUUCACAUAAGAUUUUUCUAUAAUUAAAAAAAAUUAUCAAAAAAAGAUGCAACUUCUCCCAUCUUGUUUCUAAUUCUUUUUAUAUCUAUUUAAAACAAAAACUAUACUACAAAAAAAAAAAAAGAAGAAAAAGAAAAGAGAACUCUUAAAUUUUCUCACACACUAUACUAUGAUUUUGGGGAGUUUGGAACCAUCUAAAGAUUUCUUAAACCAUUUCACCAUUCUCUACAAAAAUCCAAUUCACGUUGGACUCAUAUCCAUCCUUUGCUCUAACUUUCUCCACAUUUCCAUCUGAUAGAAUUCAUGAGCUAAGACGAUUUGUGAAAUGAUUUUUUUAUUUCUCAAUCGUAAUAAACAUUGCAGUGUGUGUUUAUAUACAAUAAAUUAAUGUAAAUCGGAAUCUCAUGUCAAUUAACUUAACCAGUAAUCCAGCUACUCUAAUACCAUCACUUUUUAUUUUUUAAAUCUUUCUCAGAUCUACUAAUUUGAAACUUCAUUGAAAAAAACAAUUUUUAUCAGUUAACUAAAAAAAGGACAAUUGGAUAUAUCAAUUCUUACCACCGACUAAGUUGUUAAUUAAAAUAAGAACCAUAUACUCCUAGAGAUUACCAGCUCAUUUGAACAAUAGAAAAUAUUUAAUGUUCUUUAAACACAAAUAGUCAACUAAUCCCCUAGUAACGACAAAAUAUCAAUGAAACCUUCACAAUACUCUCCUAGUGAAAACCCUAUAAAUAGACACUAAACACUUUUUGACAAAAAAAAAAAAAAGACACUAAACACUUAACAUUUCUCUCCACCCAUCUCAAACAAACUUAAACGCACUACUACUUCUUGAGCCUUUUCCACUCCACAAAACAAAAUGGCUCCAAGAACCUCCCUUGCACUCUUCCUUUCUCUCAACCUCCUCUUCUUCACUUACACCACUGCGACCACAGGUACUUGUCCUAGAGACGCCCUCCAGAUCGGUGUUUGCGUCAGUGUGCUUAACAUAGUGGACCUAACAGUGGGAAACCCAGCCGUACAGCCAUGCUGCUCUCUCAUCCAAGGCUUAGCUGACCUUGAGGCUGCUGUCUGCCUUUGCACUGCUCUCAAGACUAGCAUUCUUGGAACCAACGUCCUUAACCUUCCCAUCAAUCUCAGCGUUCUCCUCAAUGUUUGCGGUAGGAAAGCUCCAACGAACUUCCAGUGCGCUUAAGUUCAAAACAAACUUAUGGCAUACCUA
rnacentral:lncRNA from 1 species